rnacentral:rRNA from 1 species
UACGUAUGGUGCAAGCGUUAUCCGGAUUUACUGGGUGUAAAGGGAGCGCAGACGGCAGUGCAAGUCUGGAGUGAAAGCCCGGGGCCCAACCCCGGAACUGCUCUGGAAACUGUGCGGCUAGAGUACUGGAGGGGCAGGCGGAAUUCCUAGUGUAGCGGUGAAAUGCGUAGAUAUUAGGAGGAACACCAGUGGCGAAGGCGGCCUGCUGGACAGUAACUGACGUUGAGGCUCGAAAGCGUGGGGAGCAAACAGG